GGGGGCGUACCGGCUUCGACGUGAGCGGUCAGCGUCUCGUGAGACGAGCCGAGUUUGCUGGAGACUCGUUAAACGCCGGCAACCAACAAUACACGCCGACGAUAAUCUCGCGGUAGCCGCUUAAAGAAAAGCGGCUCAUCGGUCCGGGUAGCCCACGACCCGGGUACCGGUGUCAUUGAGUGGGCUUACCCUCCGGGUCCUGGCCCGGGGCUCUGGAGGGAACACUUAACGGGCUAGCCUCUCAGCGGCGCCCCGGUCCGCUGAGGUAGGCGAAACUAAACCGGAAGCUACGCUCGUAGAAUCUCACGGACGGCGCGCUCGCGGACGCGGGUUCGAAUCCCGCCGCCUCCACUG
rnacentral:sRNA from 1 species